rnacentral:tRNA from 1 species
GCAAGUGGAUAGCUCAGCAGGUUAGAGCGUGGUGCCAAUAACGCCAAGGUGGCAGGUUCAAUCCCCGUAUGGGACAGCUGCA